rnacentral:rRNA from 1 species
GGACUACAAGGGUAUCUAAUCCUGUUUGCUACCCACGCUUUCGUGCCUCAGUGUCAGUCUAGGUCCAGGAGGCCGCCUUCGCCACUGGUGUUCCUUCCGAUAUCUACGCAUUUCACCGCUACACCGGAAAUUCCACCUCCCUCUACCCGACUCUAGUAAACCAGUAUUGAAUGCAAUUCCUAGGUUAAGCCCAGGGCUUUCACAUCCAACUUAACUUACCACCUACGCACCCUUUACGCCCAGUAAUUCCGAUUAACGCUCGCACCCUCUGUAUUACCGCGGCUGCUGGCAC